ensembl:lncRNA
AGAAAGCUCGUGUCGUGGUGAGAGAUCAUGAGAGAUCAGCCUCAAUGUUGCGGUGAGAGAUCAGUCUCCACGUUGCGAUGAGAGAUCAGUCUCCACGUUGUGGUUAAGGAUCAGAUGGCAGAGAACCCCUCAAGUCUGUCGUGGUUAUAUGCUGAGUUCCUGAUUUAGUAGAUCCUCAGCACCUGUUUUGUUCUUCACUUUUGCUUGAAGCCUGCUUUCCUGGUGGCUUAGUUUCUGGAAAAUGCAACCUCCAACUCAAACAAAAACAAACCUGUGGAUCCUGGAUAUAUUUAUGCUGGCUUUCUUCUUCCUGGGGAAGUCUGGAAUCGUUUCACAUUAUAUUUCCACCAUGGCAUUUUAGAGUAGCUGUUAACUUCAGAGAGUCUAAGAGGGUUUCUAGCAGCCAAUAGACACGCCAUGUUUUGAUGAUGUAAAAUAUCCUAGGAUUGUUGACAGUUUGUAUGGUCUGAGCCCACAUAAUCUCUGUUGCAAUCUAUUUCUAAACAUUCCUUGGCUGUGAAUUUGUAACAAUACAGAAUUCAAUCUAUAGUUUAAUACCCCAUUGUGCUAUUCUAUUACCCGUUCCUUAGAUAUGAGGUUUGAUAGAUAACUUUCUGCUGAUUCUACAGUAGGCUUCUUACUCAUCUCAUCAAAUAUGACACUGUUUGCAACUUACCAUGGGUUUCUAUUCUGCCAAAGAAGAAAGAAUGGUUAUUUGUGUUCUUAUAACUAAUGUUCUCAAGAUGUGUUCAGUCUUGACAAAUCAAAGUCCAGACUAUUCAUAGUCUUUAUUACUUUGUAAAAUUGUAGAUGGUAAUGUUGGCAUGUCUCAUUAGUUUAUUAGAAAGGAAUUACAUUUAUCAUACUUAGGAUAUAGCUGCACGAAGAGAGUGGAAACCCUACAUCCCACAGAACCAGAAACUGCCAUGUAAGCAAUUACUUGCCUCCACAGAGAUUUCUAUUAUUUUCUACUUAGCUAUCAGAAAUAAAUUUAAGGGUAUGUUUUCAAGUAUUUCUUAUGUUUCAGAAUCACAAUUACUCCGGAUAGCUUUAGUGAUCCACUUUUCUAGGCAAAACACAAUUCAGAGAAGAACUUAGAGAAAAACAUAAAGAUUUGUUAAAUGCAAACAUUUCCACCUGAAUGUAUAGGAUAAUUUGUUGCCAUCAAAGUGCUGUUUUUUGUUUUUUAUUUUUUGUUUUUCCUGGCAUAAAAAGUAUUGUACAUUUAUGUUUUGCUGUAUAUUUAUUCUUUUAAUUUCUUCUUUUCUUUUUUCUUUUCCAGAUUGAUUACUCCAGCCUAUCAGAUAACAAAGUUGUUAAUAUGGUUUGCAAAAAUGACUACUAAGAUUUUUACACACAUUACAACAAAUAAGUCUUUCCUAAUGCUUGUUUGAUUUAUGAAGAGAAUUAUAAAAUAAAUAUUAGUCUGCAACACAGACAUUGUGCAUGUGGCUAUAUAAUGUUUUACUGACAGUGUUUCUGUUAUUGCUAAAUUAGCUUCAUUUUCUUCUUUUCAAUUUCUGUGGAAUCUGUGCUUUUUGUCUUUCACCAGAUUUUAGGAUAGCCAAGAGGAGUUGUUUUUCCCCUGUUUGUAUAAAGUACCUGCAAUAACACCUUGAUUCAAACUACAGUUUCUUAGUAGUAUGCUUAAAUAACUGAUAGUUAUUUUUUAAAUACUAUUCAAAUCAUAAAAUGAACGAUGCUCCUAUUCAAUGGGACAAGUAAUUCUGGAUGAAAAAUGGAUUUCUCAUCUUAUUUCUGAAUCCUGCUGUGGGAAUACCACACUUAAUAAAUCCAGAAAAGAACACAACAAGGAAACAUAGGCACUUAUUUAUGGGAUUGAGAAUUUCUGCUAUGUCAUCACUGUCACUUUCUCACAUUAAAACUGAAGAUAUG